GUGGCGAAGGAUUCGGCCUUUUACAUCCGGGAAGCGUCGAGUUUAGGUUAAGGUACGGCGUCGUGUUUCGUGCGCUAAAAUACUUGAGACAGAACUUUUCGGCCAAGUUUAAAAUGCAGGAGAUGCAACAGUCUUGUAGAAGUAGAUCGACGUCAGCUUGGAAAACCUCUAGGUUCAAACGCCUGAGUGGACUUAAAUGUUCAUUGAUUCUCGGAGCAGCCACGUUCAGCCGGGGGCGCUGAGUCGGAAAACUAGCGCGCGUGGGCCGUGGGCCUUCCGGCAAAGUUUAAAUGCAGCUGAUGACUCCGGUGAAGAAGGUCGUUAGUUCCGCUGUUGGUGUCAUGUGGCCAUCUUGAAUCUACUCCGCCACUAUUAAAUAGUAACACCGCAUCCUGAUAACCCGCCAGUUUGAUCCAGGUGGAAGCUGAGCUAAUUGUUCCAAUGGAUGAUGGAAAACAUAACAAGAAGUCAAGAAAUCCAAAGCGAUAUGGGUGAAGUCUUACUUAGCAUCCUGAAGUACACUGCCAAAUGUGAUUUUAAAUCUCAAGUAUGGUAUUUAAAUGGAGAAUAAAUAAGUGCUUCCUUGCUAUAUCAAUAAAAUGCUUGAUUUGUACAGAUGUCAGUGUUCCCUGACUGAAUGACCAAUAAGUGCAAAGGUAACUACAAGUAGUGAACAGGCUGUCUCCUGUUCCACUGUUGUGGAGCUCGAGCAGAAGUAACAUGAAUUAAUAUUGUUGUGUAAGGUAUUAUUUGGGGAAAACUCUUACACAUAAAAACCAGUUUACCCCUGAGGAAGAGAGCAGGGUCAUUUAAUACCACACAGAAGAUUAAGGAAACUGCACGGUGAAAAGCUAUGCACUUUAUUUACACAGAUGUGCACUGAACACUUGCAUCUUUAAAACUCACACUUAACAUUUAACAAGAAAAAAAAUUAAGCUAUAAUAAAGGCAUAUUUUAUGAACCAAGCAUUCUACCUCAAGGUUGAGCAAACUGCAGGCCAUCUGUUGACAAUCUGUUCUUUAAGUUUGCCAUCCUCUGGUCUAGUUAAAAAGCCAAUAUAAAUGUUUGCAUCAGCACUGUAGUUCAAUUACAAGGAUGGCCCAUGAGAAACUUUCAGGAAGAUAAAUUUUCUGGUUUUUCCCAAGCCCUUGUGCACCGUCCAUAGCUGUCAUCUCUAUAUGUAAAUGCAGAGUUUUUCCUUUAUCAAAGUCAUGAGUGUUUAGAAAACGUUUUAAUGCUAUUCUACUUGAACUGCAUUGCAGUUCUGCAAAGUAGUAAACUAUAAAGCACUUUCAGGUUAGCACCAGUUUUUUUACAUAGCUCAGAAUUUACAAAAGGGAUGCAAUAUGAUACAGAAGGGAAAGGGAUGGAGGUGAAGUCCCUCCAUGGUGAGUUAGCCAUUUAAGAGGAUUACUUAAGCAUUCUUAAUCCUAUAGUUUGCACUUCACCUUUUUUUACUACCUGGGAUUUUGGGAAGGACUCAUGAUAGCAGUCAUGUCACCUCUGAUAAGGAUUACUCAAGUAUCCUGAGGGCUUAGCUUUUAUAUUUGGGCAAAGAUUUUGUGCUGCUACCAAGAAUGCCCUGUAGGACACAUAAUAAGCAGCUAUCCCUUAACUCCUUUGGGAAACAGCCAGAGGGAAAACUUACCUUUAGACAGGAGAACCAUGGGUUAGAGGGGUGGGAGGAGAUGCUCUUGUCUGCAUUGGGACUCUUCCUGUUCUGGAGUUUGGAUUCAAAGCCUUUCAACAGCUGUCUCAUCUUGGCCUCUGCCUGUUAACCCAUUUGAAAACUAGAAAUACUAUAAAAUCUUACCUACCUUUUAUAAAUUGUCAAUGAGGUGCAUAGCCACCUAGCACAUAAGUGGUAUAUGGAUUAAACAUAACAGUUAUUUUAGACUUUCCCAUACUAUUGACAGGGAAAGCAUUUUUAAGUCUAUUUUUAUUAGAUGGGACUGUAUCAGGAUAGUCUGCAGGUUUAAGUUAGUUACCAGAAAGUUGCAAUAGGUGGCACUCUUAAAUCAUGGUCGGGAAAACAGUGUGAUGCUAAGGAAAAAAACAUUUUUGUUUUACCAAGCUGUAAAUUUGAAGUGAUUAAAAGUAAUCAAGCAGAUUGAAUUAGGUUGUGCAUUAAACAAUUUGAAGGCAUUCUUUAUUAUGUUAUCAGGAAUGCUGAAUUGUGCUAACAACAUACAAGGUAGCUAGAAUGUUUUUCUCUUUAGUUGCCAUAGUGCUUGGUACAAAGGCUUCAUUCAGGAAUGUAUUGUGACAAUGAUAUUCCUUUCCAGUCUGUUUAUAAUAGAAUUCCUUUAUCUUUUUUGGCCUUCAGUUUUCUCACGAAAGGCCAGAAAGAUGUGGUCUGAUUUUUUUUAUCAGCCUAAGGAAAAAAAUCUGAGCUUAAGAAAUUACAUGAACAGAAAACAAUGCCACUCUUAUUUUGAGUAUAGUAAAGAGUAUUUUCUUUGUGUGUCAAAUGUAGGCUCUUUAUAUGAAUAUAUACCAUACUGAUUCAGUUAUAAAGGAGUUCUCAAUCCAAAUAAAUGUAAAAACAGCCUGACUGCACAAUCAAUAUACAAAAGUCUGGAGAAUGCUGAGAAAUAGGCAGAGACAAGACUCAUAAGAAUAAUGAAUUUAGUGUCCAUUAAACUAAUUUGGGUAGGCGACAAUGCUAAAUAAGGAUAAUGAUUACUACACUGAGGUAUCUGUAACCAAAAUGUUCACAUCACACAUUCUCAAGCAGCAAAGGGGUACACAGUUCUUAUCACAACACAAAACACAGAAAUACGGAUCUCCACUCCCAUUAGUUGGCAUCUGGCUAAAUGCUAAUGUUGGAAAGUUUCCAACAGAUUCUUUAAAUAUUUUCUUGAGGUUUCCAUGAAGGAUUACAGUUUGGUGACACUUUUUAUCCAAGGUACAAAGGCUGAGACUUUGGUAUAAACACCAGGGGAAUCCUUGACUCCACAGCCAUAUCCCCAGGAGGUCACCCCAUAUACAACCCAGCUCUCUCCUGGCCGUUCACACAUGAGUGGUCCUCCGCUGUCUCCCUGGCAGCUGUCCACACGUUUGUGUUCAUGGAGGUUUCCAGCACAGAGCAUCCUUCCUGUAAAUCGACCCUUAUAACGGUCUUCACAAAACCUCUUGGGAAGUAAGGGGAUGGCUGCUUGUUGUAGAGUUCUUGAGUAGGCUCGUCCUAUGCAGGCCAAAUAAUUGAAUUAGAUUUCAGGUAAAGAUCGUAGCAAAAAGAGCUACAUUUAACAGUUUAAUGAACAUUUAAUAGCCCUAUUAAAAAGCCCUAUUGUGGCAUUAGUGUAGUUUAAGUGAGUGAUAACUAUAAAUGGUAUUUUUUUUAUUGUUUGCACUUAACCAUACUCUAACCCUUCACUAUUCUGUUUCUCAGUACUGCAUUUUUUGAAGAAUACUUUUAGUAACACUUACGGACUUGCCCAGUAGAAAAAGGUAACCUACAGAAAGCACAUUUGUGCAGGCUUUAGAAUUUGAAUUCUCUAUAUUAAAACAGUGAGGGUGUAUUCAUGCUGGUUCUGUAUUAGCAAAUCCACUGCUCUAGGACUCAUCUACUUCACUGACUUUUGAGGAUUAAUUAUAAAUAACAAUUCUAUAUAAGCACAUAAGGUGGCAAUUACUAUCCUCAAGAGAAACAUGGUAUUUCAUAAAGAUGAUUCAGAAACAACAUUCUUACAUAGAAACAGGCUGAAGUUUAACCACUUGUUAACGUAUUCUAUUUACUAGUAAGCCACUCAUUCUCUGUUUAGUGGCUAAAAUGUAUAAUUGAUAGGUUCUCCAUGAUAGCCUUUUCUUGGAUCUAAACUCCACAUUAUUCUCCAAUCCAAUUUACUCAACUGGAGUGAUUCAUCCAUAAUAAAACAUUCCGUAAAAUUUACUUUCUUUGUCAUCUCUAUUCAGAUGUAGUGUCUAAAGGGAGGUGAUUGAUUCACUUCCCUGAUGAAGUAAUAAUUCCAGCAGCUGUACUCCAGCCUUCAGUUUGCCUCACAGAUCAGCAUAGCGUCGUGAGAAGGCAUGUACUCUGCCCUGAUUCUAUUAUAUCAUCCAGGAAAUGUUUCCACUUAAGGUUUAUCUCAGGAUUGGUCGCAGAGCUUUUUCAGUACUGUAUAUCUGCUACAGAUGUUCUACAUUUUGCUGCUAUGAAAUAACUGUUAAUUACUUUUAAUGGAGAGCAGUCAACCCAAUCAUUUCUCCUUAGUAGUCAUUUGUGAGUCGAGCCCUAAUCCAGGUGAGACCUAGAUGUUUCGAAGACCAUCCUGAGCAAGCACUAGCUGAUGUUAACUCUAGCAAGACAAUACAGAAAGCUGUUCGCCUGAGAAGAGCACAAGCUGAACACCAUCCUGCUCGGGGACGGGGCAGGUGGGAAGAAUAGAAGGGGGUUGUGGAAGGAGAAACCCAAGUGAGCUGGAUCCCUCCACUUGAACCUCAGCAGCUCUGAUUUUUGUUCUUCAUUUAGGAAUUCUGCAUAAGAUUUACUUUGAUAAAGGGCUCCAUUACAAAGAAACCAUCAAACACCAAAGCCCUUUGCUGGGGUAGCUACAUCAAAGUCAUUAGGAAAACUUUUUAACAUAGAGACAGCUAGGCGCAAGUCCUGAGUAGGGUCCAAGUUCUAAUGGGAACCACAAUACCCUCAGGGUAUGAAUCCAGAUUACAUGCAUGCAUCUCACACAUGGUGGAAUUUCCAAACAACUAAGCCUGAAACCCUUUUAAGAUUUUGCUACCCUCUGUACACCCAGAUGUAUGGACAAUCCCAGACACAAGCAGGUGCCCAGAUUUUAAUUGUUUCUUUGGGUUAUUUGUUACCUGUGU